rnacentral:rRNA from 1 species
ACACGACCGUACCGCAAACCGACACUGGUGCGCGAGAUGAGUAUUCUCAGGCGCUUGAGAGAACUCGGGAGAAGGAACUCGGCAAAUUGACACCGUAACUUCGGAAGAAGGUGUGCCUUUAGUAGGUGAAGUCCCUCGCGGAUGGAGCCCAAUGAGGUUGCAAAGAAUCGGUGGCUGCGACUGUUUAAUAAAAACACAGCACUCUGCAAACACGAAAGUGGACGUAUAGGGUGUGACGCCUGCCCGGUGCUGGAAGAUUAAGUGAUGGGGUGCAAGCUCUUGAUCGAAGUCCCAGUAAACGGCGGCCGUAACAAUAACGGUCCUAAGGUAGCGAAAUUCCUUGUCGGGUAAGUUCCGACCUGCACGAAUGGCGUAACGAUGGCCACACUGUCUCCUCCCGAGACUCAGCGAAGUUGAAAUGUUUGUGAUGAUGCAAUCUCCCCGCGGAAAGACGGAAAGACCCCAUGAACCUUUACUGUAGCUUUGUAUUGGACUUUGAACGGAUCUGUGUAGGAUAGGUGGGAGCUUUGAAGCCGGGUCGCUAGAUCUGGUGGAGCCAACGUUGAAAUACCACCCUGGUGCGUUUGAGGUUCUAACCUAGGCCCGUAAUCCGGGCCGGGGACAGUGCAUGGUAGGCAGUUUGACUGGGGCGGUCUCCUCCCAAAGCGUAACGGAGGAGCUCGAAGGUACGCUAGUUACGGUCGGACAUCGUGACGAUAGUGCAAUGGCAUAAGCGUGCUUAACUGCGAGACUGACAAGUCGAGCAGAUGCGAAAGCAGGACAUAGUGAUCCGGUGGUUCUGUAUGGAAGGGCCAUCGCUCAACGGAUAAAAGGUACUCUGGGGAUAACAGGCUGAUACCGCCUAAGAGUUCAUAUCGACGGCGGUGUUUGGCACCUCGAUGUCGGCUCAUCUCAUCCUGGGGCUGUAGCCGGUCCCAAGGGUAUGGCUGUUCGCCAUUUAAAGAGGUACGUGAGCUGGGUUUAAAACGUCGUGAGACAGUUUGGUCCCUAUCUUCCGUGGGCGCUGCAGAUUUGAGGAAGCCUGCUCCUAGUACGAGAGGACCGGAGUGGACGCACCUCUGGUGUACCUGUUGUCACGCCAGUGGCAUUGCAGGGUAGCUAAGUGCGGAAGAGAUAACCGCUGAAAGCAUCUAAGCGGGAAACUCGUUUCAAGAUGAGAUCUGCCGGGGCCUUGAGCCCCCUGAAGAGUCGUUCUAGACCAGGACGUUGAUAGGUCAGGUGUGGAAGCGCAGUAAUGCGUUAAGCUAACUGAUACUAAUUGCUCGUGCGGCUUGAUC